AAACGUAGGGGGCGAGCGUUGUCCGGAAUUACUGGGCGUAAAGGGCACGUAGGCGGUUAUCCAAGUCAGGGGUGAAAACCUUGGGCUCAACUCAGGGCCUGCCUCUGAAACUGGGUAACUUGAGGGCAGGAGAGGGGAGUGGAAUUCCCAGUGUAGCGGUGAAAUGCGUAGAUAUUGGGAGGAACACCAGUGGCGAAGGCGGCUCUCUGGCCUAACCCUGACGCUGAGGCGCGAAAGCGUGGGGAUCAAACAGGAUUAGAUACCCGCGUAGUCCCUGAGCGGGCUGG
rnacentral:rRNA from 1 species